rnacentral:rRNA from 1 species
AGUGAAUAGAUACCCUGGUAGUCCACGCCGUAAACGAUGGAAGCUAGCCGUUGGCAAGUUUACUUGUCGGUGGCGCAGCUAAACGCAUUAAGCUUCCCGCCUGGGGAGUACGGUCGCAAGAUUAAAACUCAAAGGAAUUGACGGGGCCCGCACAAGCGGUGGAGCAUGUGGUUUAAAUUCGAAGCAACGCGCAGAACCUUACCAGCCCUUCGACAUCCCGGUCGCGGUUACGAGAGAUCGUUUCCUUCAGUUCGGCUGGACCGGAGACAGGUGCUGCAUGGCUGUCGUCAGCUCGUGUCGUGAGAUGUUGGGUUAAGUCCCGCAACGAGCGCAACCCUCGCCCUUAGUUGCCAUCAUUCAGUUGGGCACUCUAAGGGGACUGCCGGUGAUAAGCCGAGAGGAAGGUGGGGAUGACGUCAAGUCCUCAUGGCCCUUACGGGCUGGGCUACACACGUGCUACAAUGGUGGUGACAGUGGGCAGCGAGACCGCGAGGUCGAGCUAAUCUCC